rnacentral:rRNA from 1 species
CCCAUACCCCGCCCUCAGGGUAGACACUAUGCCCUGAGGAGUAGGCGGACGUGGAGGUCAGUGACGAAGCCUAGGGCGUGAGCCCGGGCCGAACGGCCUCUAGUGCAGAUCUUGGUGGUAGUAGCAAAUACUUCAAUGAGAUCUUGAAGGACCGAAGUGGGGAAAGGUUCCAUAUGAACAGCGGUUGGAUAUGGGUAAGCCGAUCCUAAGCCAUAGGGAAGUUCCGUUUCAAAGGGGCACUAAUCGCCCCGUAUGGCGAAAGGGAAGCCGGUCAAUAUUCCGGCGCCUGGAUGUGGGUUUUACGCGGCAACGCAAUCGAAAGCGGAGACGAGGGCGGGGGCCCUGGGUAGAGUUCUCUUUUCUUCUUAACAGUCUAGUGACCCUGGAAUCGGUUUGUCCGGAGAUAGGGUUCAACGGCUGGAAGAGCCCAGCACUUCUGCUGGGUCCGGUGCGCUCCC